ACAGGUUGGAGUUCAAGUCUUGCUGCCUGCAGCUCUGUGAUCUCCCUGCACAAGUUUUGACCAGUCUGAGCCUCAUUUUUUUCUCUUCUGUAAUAUGGGGGCUGCAAAAAUCUUCUUCGAAAGAUUGCUGUAAGGGGGAAGCGAAAGGAGGUCCGUAGGGCCCUUAGCGCAGUGGCUGGCAUGUAAGGAGAGCUCAGCCAACGGUUGCUUUAGAACUACCUCAGGAUGACGACUCCUUCACCUGACACUUUAUCUUCUGGUUCUCAGCUUAGCAGUUCUGAGGGCACCUGGAGAGCAGAGCUUGCUGGGCCCUCACAUGGCAGAGCAGAAAAGCAAGUCCAGAGAGCUUAAGUGACUUGUCCAUGUUGUGUCUUAGCUCCUCACUGCUCUUCGGGAUCCCGGGCAGGGCUUUCUGUGGAGACACAGUGAGAACCAGCUGAGGAAGGGUGAUGAGUGGCCGGAGACAGCAAUGUCCCUGGGGCCAUUCUGCGGUUAAAAGGGACACCCUCCCCCACCCACAGCCUAUGAGAGAGAAAACUCCUGCUUAUGCACAAAGUUUGCUGCAAGUGAAGCCCUCUGUCUGGGCACAGGACAAAGUAACCCUUAGACAGCAGUUCUGGGUGGCGGAUUGUUUGCACCACGAAAUCAUGCUCCGGAACUCCACUCCCCCACCUGAUGCAGGCUGUGGCAUUCCCACCGGCAGAGUCACACUCUACUCUGGAGGCGAGGCCUGCCUCUAGAAGUCAUCUGGGAGGAAUUCAGAGAAAAGAUCUGGAAGGACAGGUAUUGGCAAAGACUUAUUUUCCCAGGAUUAUCCCAGCUUAGAG
rnacentral:lncRNA from 1 species